rnacentral:tRNA from 1 species
UAAAUUAUAGCUUAACAAUAAGCAUCUCACUUACGUUGAGAAGAUCACUAAGUUUAGUGUAGUUUAA